GAUAGUUACCUGGUUGAUUCUGCCAGUAGUCAUAUGCUUGUCUCAAAGAUUAAGCCAUGCAUGUCUAAGUAUAAGCAAUUAUACCGCGAAACUGCGAAUGGCUCAUUAUAUAAGUUAUCGUUUAUUUGAUAGCACAUUACUACAUGGAUAACUGUGGUAAUUCUAGAGCUAAUACAUGCUAAAAAUCCCGACUUCGGAAGGGAUGUAUUUAUUAGAUUAAAAGCCAACGCCCUUCGGGGCUUCCUGGUGAUUCAUAAUAACUUUUCGAAUCGCAUGGCCUUGCGCCGGCGAUGGUUCAUUCAAAUUUCUUCCCUAUCAACUUUCGAUGCGAAGGUAUUGUCUUCGCAUGGUUGCAACGGGUAACGGAGGGUUAGGGCUC
rnacentral:rRNA from 1 species